AGUUUCAUAGACAAAAAAUAGUGGACAAUAUAUGUCAAUUCUAUGUAGUUUGAGGAUAUUUCAAUUCUAUCUGUGUCUAUAUAAAGACACAUGUAACUCAUGAAUGAGAAUCUUCACAUCUUCUAUAUAUAUAGAGAGAGUAUACAUCUCUUUCUCAACUGUAAGCAAUAAACCUUUCUCCAUGCCAAGCAUGCUAGCAAUCAUAUCCAACAGUCUCAGAGCAAGAAAUCAUUUAUGAUAUAUAUAUAUAUAUAUAUAUAUAUAUAUAUAAUAUUUUGCUCUGAAAUUUGUUAUAUUGAGUUUUAGAAAUUGGAUAUGGAAAUAUUGUGUUUUGGAAAUGUUUAUGGAUUGAUGAUAGUUCCAGAGGACCUUGAAGUUGAAAAGGACAACAGUUUCGAACUUUGAUUUCAAGUGCAUAGAGGCCAUGAAAAUCAUCUAAUAGAAGAAUUGUCCAUAUCAUUAUCUGGUCUACACAAAAGGGGCUUAAAGCAGAACAACACAUCUCUCUUUUUUGUGAGCUGAUGAAAACUAUAUAGAUGUAUAAUCACAAGCAAUAUCCAACUCAAGGGUACACAUAUCUACUUUCUCAUGAGGCUACAUGACUCUCCUAGAUGUUUAUGAAGUGAUGAUGGUUCCAAAGUGGCUUGAGGUUGAAAAGGACAACAGUUUCGAGCUUCGAUUCCAGGUACGGAGAAGCCAUGAAAGUGAGUAACUUUUUUUUUUUAUCUUUUUUUCUUUGGUUCUAAUAAAACAAAACAUCUCUCUCUUGCCUUUUUAUAGUGAAAUCAUAUUCUAAUUCGAUGAUAGUCGAUUGAUUUAUUUUUAAUGUUGCCAAAUGCUUAAAAAUAUUUCCCACGUAUUUGUCUUGUUGCUGAGGAAAUAUAGAAGGCGGCAGAAAAUUGGGUUUAUCAUAUUGUUUUUGUUUCCUCCUUUUUCUUAUGUUUUCUCAGUGGCAAGCAUGUCCCGAGGACUUCAAAGGUUUAAUUUGUGGAAAUUAUUUUAUAUAAAUAUAUAUAUAUAUAGGAAAAUGUUUGGAGGGCUUGCUCAAAGUGAGCUCGCUUUAUCAUCCUUUGGAUCCAGUGAAUAUGGGCACUAGCUCAUUAUGAGAACACCCUCAUCAUAUGAGCUCAUAUAUAUAUAUAUAUAUAUAUAUAUA